CCUCACAACAAUUAAAUCAUAGCAUCGUAAUCAAAUGAAGCGAGAUAGACAGGUUUUGCUAACUCGUUAGCAAAAUUAGCAAGUUCGAAGAAGAAGGAGAAAAAGGAAAUUAGCAAGUGCAGUUCUGGAAGGUGGAAAUUUGGAGUAUUUAGUAAAAACUAUUUUUACUAAGCUACCACUACAGCGGCAACUUAAAAUGAAAAGUGACGGCUGGCCAGCGCCGCAGCUUGACCUGCGUACGGAGAGGAAGAAAGGUUUUCGACUUGACUUUCAAUGAGGAGAGUUAUGUCUGCACGGAGCGGCUAGCUGCUAACGCUAAACUUCAGCGUUUGAGGAGAACCUAAGGGCCAUUGGGAAUUUCUACGACAUGGUUAUUGACCGCUUCGCCACCAUGGAAGACAGGACGAUGGCCUUCCUCUACAAACAGGAUGUUCUUGAGAUGAACCAGGAAAUGCCAUGUACAAAGUGACAUGCAGAUUUACCUUGGAGUUGGUGCUGUCGUCUUUGGUCCCGUCCAAACUUCCAUCCUGGCCCAUCUGGAGAUAGAAGCCCUGCCUGCAGAAUAACCUGGUCACUAUGCCCUUCAGCUGUGGUUCUGGUGAGGAGACACAAACAGAGAUACGAACAUGAAUGACAUCUUUAAACCAGGCCAUGUACUAUCCCUCAUACAGCCUCCGCUCUGAAUGAAUCAACAAGCAAAGGAAAAUAAAGACAGUCGAAACUUAACCGAUACCCAGAAUGCCUUAAGAGGAUGCAGGUGGCCUGUCAGCCUGUUUGGAAAGAUUUAUUGUGGGGGGAAGGAAAUAUCUAGGAUAUCCUCCCCAGAAUACACUUUCCCAAAUUAUACAUAAACCCUAGCAGGCAGAUCUAAGAUGCAGUACCUUUUGGCAUUAAAAAAGGACAAUGUGACCACAUGUGACCUGCCACAUCCUGAGGGAUUUCCUGUGGGACAGACUAGUCAAGCACAUCAAAUCCAUUUAUACUUUGCUUUUGAGACUCUUGGGCUAAUCCUUCUCCACUUGUCAUUGUUCCAGUUGAAUAAUUUUGUUUAAUUAUUGGUCAAGUUAUUUUGGUAAGAACAACCUUAUAAUGGCAACUGCAUUCUGCUUUAAUAUGUAUUAACUGACCAAUAUAUUGGUUUGCAGAUAUGAGGGUGACACUGGCCUUUUACUCAGGCUUUUUAUUCAGAUGUGUUCCAGUAGGAGUCACCAGUCUGAUAUGAUGAAGGCUCCUCCCUGCCACAGCUAUGAAUGAUUUAUAAUAUCACAAAUGACAGAUUUCAUUGUCUGCACAUUUUCUUUAUUAUUUCUUAAUUAGAUAACUUAAUUGUUUGGUCAUAUUGAAUAUUGACAAAAAAUACCUAUCUGGCUUGAAAAAACCUUUGAGUUUUGCUGCUAUUGUUAUAGAAAUGAUGUGGCAAGAGAAGAAAAGCAUCAUACCAAUAUUUUUUUUUUUUUUAGAAUUGAUAGUUGCUAUUGGCAACCUCAUAUCAUUUGAAUUAAACAACUGUGUGGUUGUCUCAUCAUCAAAUGAGAAAUUACUAAAAUGAAACAAAAAAGAGAGAGAGAGAGAGAGAAGAAUCAAGAACAAGAGAAGAAAAAGAGAGGCUGGGGAAGAAUGAGAGGUGUGGAGGGAAGGACGAGAAUGAGAAAGGCACAGAAAGUGGGAGAUAAGACAAAUGGAUGUCUGACUAGACCGGGCCGAGGUGAUAUAAUGACUCUGGAGCUUCUUAAGCAGGUACAGACAGAGAUAUUUUUCCAUGCUAUCGCACGCCACCAUCAUCAUCAUUACUAUUAUCAUCGCAUCAGCCGUAGACAGCAAGCAUUUUCCAUACACACAUACACGCACUCACACACACACACACACACACACACACACACACACACACACACAUACACGCUCACCUUGUUUGGUAAAAAUGAUUAAUAUUCUCCAGCUGCUCCAUUUUUCACAACCACACCCAUCCUCCCUCUCUUUCUCUUACACACACCACUGACUUUCCCCUCCUCUGUGUAGCUAUAGUAAGACGGGAAUCCCCUUUGAAUGUGUGUGUGUGUGUGUGUGUGUGUGUGUGUGUGUGUGUGUGAGGGGACCAAGAAGGUAUGCCCUAAUGCACAGAGACAGAAAAAGAGCCAAGACUGACCCAGUUUAUGAGGUGUGAGGGAGAGAGAGGGUGAGAGAGGGUAUUUUCCAUCUUUGUGAAGCAUCCAUCUUGUACAGCUGGGGAGAACACUGAAGGCAGAGGGGAAGCCAUGAAAGACUCGCAACUGGCGCCCGAACUCCCCACCUAGUGAGUGCAGCUAGUGGUAUGUGGCUGUGUGACCCGCUCAAGUGAUGUGUCUUGAUCAGAUUAGGGAUCUAGCCGUUGAAUGUACUCUUUGAACAUGAGCCAAGCAAAGCAAACGCUUCAAAAUGCUUGGUUGUAAUUUUAAAUUCUGUAGUUCUUGAUGAUAAUACCCAAACAGGUGAAAUUUCUAUGGAACAUGGAUAUUAUUUUCACACACGGAUCGGCAGUAAACAGUACACUAAUGCUUAAACAAUUAGUCAAUUAAGCAAUUAGUCAAUGAACAGAAAAUUAAUUGGCUCCAACUUUGAUAAGCGAUUGUUUUAGUCCAUACCAAGUAAAAAUACCAAACAUUUGCUGAUGGGAUUGAUCUAAUGAAAUAAUUGACUGAUGGAUCGACAUUGAAAAUAACUGUUAGUUGAAGGCCAAAUUGCCUUAUAGGUGACUGAAGACAUCAGAUUCUACCAGAAUUAGUUUUACCUAACCUUUGAUAAAAGCUUUAAUGAGAGAUGGCAGAAAAGUCUAGUUUCUCUGGAUUAGACGCAGUUGCACUACAUUUUAAUAAAUGAAAUAAUAGCAGCACUGGCUAAAAACUGCUUUUUAGUUCCCUGAUCAUUCACAGGAGAGGAAACCUCAUUUCAGAGCAUCAGAGGGGAAUGCAACCACAAAUGUUGCUGUGACAUAAGAGUGAAAUGAAAAGUACAAAGCAAGUAAUAAUAAAGUAUUUUUACUUUUGCAAUGACUAACCAGUCCUGAGUUUCAUCUGACUUUGCACAAAACAACAUUCAGAAGCCAUAUGCCGUCUUCGCCAGCACAGUGUGCAUUUAUGCAUUUCAAAGACUUCUUUUAUAUCAAAGCAUCGGUGACUCAAACGAUCCUUUCCAGCCUCUCUUCUCUGUUACGCGAGUGUUGUGUAGUGUAGUGUAGUGCAAUUUAGUGUAGGCUCAGAUCUAGUUAGGACAAGGAAUUACAUAUUAGGCUUGAAAGCAAGGAGAACACACACACAAAUGCACACACAUACACUGAACAGAUUAACCUAUGAGGCAAAAUUUCCUUCCAGCUCAAAGAUAACUGUACUUUUAUGGUCACUAUUUUAUUUAUUAUUGCUGGUACUAUUAUUUAUUACUGUUGUUUAACAUGGUGUUGCUACUGUUGCUGUUUGUAUAAGAGUC